UACGUAGGAGACGAGCGUUGUCCGGAAUUACUGGGCGUAAAGCGCGUGUAGGCGGAUGGGCAAGUCUGCUGUGAAAGCUCCUGGCUUAACCGGGAGUGGUCGGUGGAAACUGCCAAUCUGGAGGACGGUAGAGGUAGGUAGAAUUCCCGGUGUAGUGGUAAAAUGCGUAGAGAUCGGGAGGAAUACCUGUGGCGAAGGCGGCCUACUGGGCCGGACCUGACGCUGAGACGCGAAGGCGUGGGGAGCGAACGGG
rnacentral:rRNA from 1 species